AGAUUUAAAAUAUUUGUUAAUUAAUCAUGAUAUAAUGAUUAAAAAAAUUAAUAAAAUAAAAUAAAAUUGAAAAUGUCUGAAAAUAUCUAAAUAAAAAAAAACCAAUACAAAUUCGAAAAAAAUAAAAAUCCAAAUUAUUCCAAUCGAAGCAACCCAAAACAAAUAAGCUUGAACCUACUUGUUUGUCACCUCUAUUCCAUCCUCCUUUUCAUAUUUUCAUAUAUACAAAAUACUUCCAACUUUACUAGACAAGAUUUGAGUCGGUUGUUGCCUUGUCUGAGUGCUACCUGCUUCCACGAGUUUGUUGAACGCGAACCCUAACCCCAACGACAACGCUAAAAAGACCCAGAGAAUCAAUCUUGGAAACGGAAGUGAACAACUCCACGUGCCCAGUUUUGUAGCCUACGAUGAUGCCUGGAAAUUCUUCAAUUACACGACAAUCACAUUAGCCCACCCUUCGCGUCUUUGGUAUUUAUUGCUUCUAUACGCACAUAUAUAUAUAUAUAUAUGUAUAUUAUAAUUUCCGUAAUUUUUUAUUUUUUAUUUUUAUUUUUUGAGAUGUGGAUUGUGGGGCAGAGUUUGCAGUUUUCUUGGUUUCUCAGCUCAAGCAAUCUUUACAUAUUCUUUUAGCCACUAAUUCAUGAUUACUCGUAUAGCGUAUUUGAUGACGAAAGAGGUGUUUCUUAACUGUGUAACUUUAAAUUAUUGACGGCAUGCCACGACCACUUUAAUUUCUAUUUCUACACAUUAUUUGAUUGUUUGGGUUUGGUUGUUUGUUAUCUGCUUUUAGAAAUAGAGAAUGACAAUUUCUAUCACAGGUGGCAGUGUGCUUACAUUUCUUACGCUAAAGUAACGAGGUCGUGCGACACUAAGAUCAUUUUUAGUUGAGGUCAGUAUUAUCUAAGUUCCUUUUUUCUUAAGAACAACUCAUAAUAGCGAUCCUCGUAGCGCAUGAUAGCCUUUUCUUGAUUUGUUCUGCGGGGUCGUCCGCAACAUUCUAAAACCAACAGCUAGUUAUCGGGAGAUCUAGAGCACCCAUCAAGUGCUAGCAAGCACUAGAGUUCCGAGUAUCGACCUUUUAAGAAGUUGUGUGGAUUACAUAGCUCCGAAACUUAUUAGAACAUUUCAUUUCGACAUGGUAAGAACCUGACACCAUACUCGCACGUAUAUUUCGCAGCACUUGUGCCUGGGACCUUAAGCCACAACUCGAAGGCUGGCUUGCAGCCAGCUAGGAGCCACCCAAAGG
rnacentral:lncRNA from 1 species